UACGUAGGUGACAAGCGUUGUCCGGAUUUACUGGGCGUAAAGAGCGCGCAGGCGGUCGUUCAAGUCGCGUGUGAAAGCCCCCGGCUCAACUGGGGAGGGUCACGCGAUACUGAUCGACUCGAAGGCAGGAGAGGGUAGUGGAAUUCCCGGUGUAGUGGUGAAAUGCGUAGAUAUCGGGAGGAACACCAGUGGCGAAGGCGACUACCUGGCCCAUUCUUGACGCUGAGGCGCGAAAGCUAGGGGAGCGAACGGG
rnacentral:rRNA from 1 species